AAGAGAGUUAAUAAGUACGUGAAACCGUUGNAAGAAGCGAAUGAGCAAUUCUCCCUGUCGUGCUUGGUUUCGAUCUUUCCAGACGAGCCUUGCGUGCAUGCGUCGCAUGGCCGGUGCACUUCUGCUGGGAGACAGUCAACGUCGGUUUGCGUGUGCCCAAAACGCCGCGAGCACGGUAGGUCUCUCGGGAUCGGUAAGGCUUGCGUGCAAAUGACUACAUGCAGACCGAGUUGCAGUCGCAGCACGUACCUGCAGGUUGAUGUCUUCGUCGUUGUGUCGGUUUACUGUCGCCAACGGACGGCAUUGCCAGUGCGUUUGGGUGCGGCCGUUCACACGACGGGGCUAACAGACACCACGUGCUGAGGGCGUUGACAAUUCUGCGCCUCUAUCCGACCCGUCUUGAAACACGGACCAAGGAGUCUAACAUGUGCGCAAGUCUCGGAGUGAACGAAACUCGUUGGGCAUAAUGAAAGUGAAUGCAGUCUCGGCUGCAGAGAUGAGAGGCUGUCGUGGCGGCAUCAUCGACCGACCUAUUCUACUCUUAGAAAGGUUUGAGUUAGAGCGCACCUGUCGGGACCCGAAAGAUGGUGAACUAUGCUUGAAUAGGGCGAAGCCAGCGGAAACACUGGUGGAAGCCCGUAGCGAUUCUGACGUGCAAAUCGAUCGUCGAAUUUGAGUAUAGCGGCGAAAGACUAAUCGAACCAUCUAGUAGCUGGUUCCCUCCGAAGUUUCUCACAGGAUAGCUGGAGCUCAUUNGCAGUUU
rnacentral:rRNA from 1 species